rnacentral:rRNA from 1 species
GACGAACGCUGGCGGCGUGCUUAACACAUGCAAGUCGAACGGAAAGGCCCUGCUUUUGUGGGGUGCUCGAGUGGCGAACGGGUGAGUAACACGUGAGUAACCUGCCCUUGACUUUGGGAUAACUUCAGGAAACUGGGGCUAAUACCGGAUAGGAGCUCCUGCUGCAUGGUGGGGGUUGGAAAGUUUCGGCGGUUGGGGAUGGACUCGCGGCUUAUCAGCUUGUUGGUGGGGUAGUGGCUUACCAAGGCUUUGACGGGUAGCCGGCCUGAGAGGGUGACCGGCCACAUUGGGGCUGAGAUACGGCCCAGACUCCUACGGGAGGCAGCAGUGGGGAAUAUUGCACAAUGGGCGGAAGCCUGAUGCAGCAACGCCGCGUGCGGGAUGACGGCCUUCGAGUUGUAAACCGCUUUCGCCUGUGACGAAGCGUGAGUGACGGUAAUGGGUAAAGAAGCACCGGCUAACUACGUG